rnacentral:tRNA from 1 species
ACUACUUUGGCAGAUAAGUGCAAUAAAUUUAGAAUUUAUUAAUGUAAUUUAGAUUACAGGUAGUA